rnacentral:rRNA from 1 species
UACGAAGGGGGCUAGCGUUGCUCGGAAUUACUGGGCGUAAAGCGCACGUAGGCGGAUUGUUAAGUCGGGGGUGAAAUCCUGGAGCUCAACUCCAGAACUGCCUCCGAAACUGGCGAUCUUGAGUUCGGGAGAGGUGAGUGGAACUGCGAGUGUAGAGGUGAAAUUCGUAGAUAUUCGCAAGAACACCAGUGGCGAAGGCGGCUCACUGGCCCGAUACUGACGCUGAGGUGCGAAAGCGUGGGGAGCGAACAGG